rnacentral:rRNA from 1 species
AGAGUUUGAUCCUGGCUCAGGAUGAACGCUGGCGGCGUGCCUAACACAUGCAAGUCGAGCGAUUCUCUUCGGAGAAGAGCGGCGGACGGGUGAGUAACGCGUGGGUAACCUGCCCUGUACACACGGAUAACAUACCGAAAGGUAUGCUAAUACGAGAUAACAUACUUUUAUCGCAUGGUAGAAGUAUCAAAGCUUUUGCGGUACAGGAUGGACCCGCGUCUGAUUAGCUAGUUGGUAAGGUAACGGCUUACCAAGGCGACGAUCAGUAGCCGACCUGAGAGGGUGAUCGGCCACAUUGGAACUGAGACACGGUCCAAACUCCUACGGGAGGCAGCAGUGGGGAAUAUUGCACAAUGGGCGAAAGCCUGAUGCAGCAACGCCGCGUGAGCGAUGAAGGCCUUCGGGUCGUAAAGCUCUGUCCUCAAGGAAGAUAAUGACGGUACUUGAGGAGGAAGCCCCGGCUAACUACGUGCCAGCAGCCGCGGUAAUACGUAGGGGGCUAGCGUUAUCCGGAAUUACCGGGCGUAAAGGGUGCGUAGGUGGUUUCUUAAGUCAGAGGUGAAAGGCUACGGCUCAACCGUAGUAAGCCUUUGAAACUGGGAAACUUGAGUGCAGGAGAGGAGAGUGGAAUUCCUAGUGUAGCGGUGAAAUGCGUAGAUAUUAGGAGGAACACCAGUUGCGAAGGCGGCUCUCUGGACUGUAACUGACACUGAGGCACGAAAGCGUGGGGAGCAAACAGGAUUAGAUACCCUGGUAGUCCACGCCGUAAACGAUGAGUACUAGCUGUCGGAGGUUACCCCCUUCGGUGGCGCAGCUAACGCAUUAAGUACUCCGCCUGGGAAGUACGCUCGCAAGAGUGAAACUCAAAGGAAUUGACGG